rnacentral:rRNA from 1 species
AGUGAACGCUGGCGGCAGGCCUAAUACAUGCAAGUCGAACGGCAGCACAGUGGAGCUUGCUCCAUGGGUGGCGAGUGGCGGACGUGUGAGGCAUACAUGGGAAUCUGCCCAGUCGUGGGGGAUAACUUAGGGAAACUUACGCUAAUACCGCAUGCGCCCUUCGGGGGAAAGCCGGGGACCUUCGGGCCUGGCGCGUUUGGAUGAGCCCAUGUUCGAUUAGCUAGUUGGCGGGGUAAAGGCCCACCAAGGCGACGAUCGAUAGCUGGUCUGAGAGGAUGAUCAGCCACACUGGGACUGAGACACGGCCCAGACUCCUACGGGAGGUAGCAGUAGGGAAUAUUGGACAAUGGGCGCAAGCCUGAUCCAGCCAUGCCGCGUGAGUGAAGAAGGCCCUCGGGUUGUAAAGCUCUUUUGUCCGGGAAGAAAAGCAUCGGGCUAAUACCUCGGUGUUCUGACGGUACCGGAAGAAUAAGCACCGGCUAACUUCGUG